GAAGUUUGAUCCUGGCUCAGAAGGAAACGCUAGCUAUAUGCUUAACACAUGCAAGUCGAACGUUGUUUUUCAGGGAGCUGGGGCAAGAAAGAAAAAAAGGCUCCUAAGCUAAAGGUAGCUUUGUCUCGCCCAGGAGGUGAGAACAGUUGAGAAACAAAGUGGCGAACGGGUGCGUAACGCGUGGGAAUCUGCCGAACAGUUCGGGCCAAAUCCGGAAAGAAAAAGCUAAAAAAGCGCUGUUUUGAUGAGCCUGCGUAGUAUUAGGUAGUUGGUUCAGGUAAAGGCUGACCAAGCCAAUGAUGCUUUAGCUGGUCUUUUUUCGGAUGAUCAAGCCACACUGGGACUGAGACCACGGCCCGGACUCCCCCACGGGGGCAGCAGUGGGGAAUCUUGGACAAUGGGCGAAAGCCCGAUCCAGCAAUAUCGCCGUGAGUGAAGAAGGGCAAUGCCGCUUGUAAAGCUCUUUCGUUUGAGUGGCGCGAUCAUGACAGGACUCGAGGAAGAAGCCCCCGGCUAAACUCCGUGCCAGCAGCCGCGGUAAGACGGGGGGGGGCAAGUGUUUCUUCGGAAUGACUGGGGCGUAAAGGGCACGUAGGCGGUGAAUCGGGUUGAAAAGUGAAAGUCGCCAAAAAACUGGCGGAAUGCUAUCGAAACCAAUUCACUUGGGUGAGACAGAGGAGAGUGGGAAUUUCGUGUGUAGGGGUGGAAAUCCGGAGAUCUACGAAGGAACGCCAAAAAGCGAAAGGCAGCUCUCUGGGUCCCUACCGACGCUGGGGUGCGAAAGGCAUGGGGAAGCGAACAGGAUUAGAUACCCUGGUAGUCCAUGCCGUAAAACGAUGAGUGUUCGCCCCUUGGUCUACACGGAAUCGGAUCAGGGGCCCAGCUAACGCGUGAAAACACUCCCGCCUGGGGAGUUACGGUCGCAAGACCGAAACUCAAAGGAAUUGACGGGGGGCCUGCACAAGCGGUGGAAGCAUGUGGUUUAAUUCGAUACAACGCGCAAAAACCUUACCAGCCCUUGGACAUAUGAAACAAACAAAACCUGUCCUUAACGGGAUGGUACUGACUUUCAUACAGGUGCUUGCAUGGCUGUCGUCAGCUCGUGUCGUGAGAUGUUUUGGUCCAAGUCCUAUAACGAGCGAAACCCUCGUUUUGUGUUGCUGGAGACAUGCGCUUAAGGAAGAAAGUCCUUUGCAAACCGAAGUGAGCCAAGGAGCCGAGUGGACGUGCCAGCGCUUACUAAUUGAGUGCCAGCACGUAGCUUGUGCUGUCAGUAAGAAGGGAGCCGGCGCCUUUCUAAGUACUUUUCUAGUUAGCGGCUUUUCGUUUUUCAAUAAGGACGUUAGGCUUUUACUAAUAAAAUAGAAAGGGCUUUUCUCGCUUGUUUUAGUAAAGUCACGUUUUUGGCCUUAUCUUGCGGGUGACGACGACGUCGAGUUGGCGGCGGGGAAAAGACCUCGGCAUUCAGGCGAGCCGCCCGGUGGUGUGGUACGUAAAGUGGGUUUUAGUACGCUUCCGCCAAAAGGGGCUCCGAAAGAAAGAAAAAGGUGCGUGCCCGCACUCACGAGGGGACUUGCCAGUGAUAUACUGGAGGAAGGUGGGGGAUGAACGUCAAGUCCGCAUGGCCCCUUAUGGGCUGGGCCACAACACGUGCUACAAUGGCAAUUACAAUGGGAAGCAAGGCUUUUAAGGCGGAGCGAAAUCCGGAAAAGAAUUGCCUCAGUUCGGAUUGUUUCUCUGCAACUCGAGAACAUGAAGUUGGAAUCCGCUUAGUAAUCGCGGAUCAGCAUGCCCGCGGUGAAAUAUGUUACCCGGGCCCUGUACACACCGCCCGUCCACACCCUGGGGAAUUGGUUUUCGCCCGAAGCAUCGGACCAAUGAUUCACCCAUGACUUCUGUGUACCACUAGUGCCCAAAAGGCUUUUGGUGGUCUUAUUGGCGCAUACCACCGGUGGGGGUUUCUUCGACUGGGGUGAAGUCGUAAACAAGGUAGCCCGUAGGGGAACCUGUGGCUG
rnacentral:ncRNA from 1 species